AUGAACGCUAGCGACAGGCUAACACAUGCAAGUCGAGGGGUAACAGGGUAGCAAUACCGCUGACGACCGGCGCACGGGUGAGUAACGCGUAUGCAACCUGCCUAUAACUGGGGAAUAGCUCCCUGAAAGGGGGAAUUAACACCGCAUAAUACUAUUGAUUCGCAUGGAUUAGUAGUUAAAUGUAGCGAUACAGGUUAUAGAUGGGCAUGCGUGACAUUAGCUAGUUGGUGAGGUAACGGCUCACCAAGGCUACGAUGUCUAGGGGUUCUGAGAGGAAGGUCCCCCCACACUGGUACUGAGACACGGACCAGACUCCUACGGGAGGCAGCAGUGAGGAAUAUUGGUCAAUGGGCGCAAGCCUGAACCAGCCAUGUCGCGUGCAGGAAGAACCUGCCCUAUGGGUUGUAAACUGCUUUUAUAGUAGAAGAAACACAUCUACGUGUAGAUGUCUGCCAGUAUACUAUGAAUAAGCAUCGGCUAACUCCGUGCCAGCCGCCGC
rnacentral:rRNA from 1 species